ensembl:miRNA sha-mir-202 sha-mir-202
ACCCAGCUCAGAAUGGCUCGUGGUUCCUUUUUCCUAUGCAUAUACUUCUUUGAGAAUAAAUUCUAAAGAGGCGUAGGGCAUGGGAAAAUGGGGCCACGGAGCUCCUCCUCCUCGUCUUCCUCGGGACUUCGGCUUCCUCCUCAGCGCCCU